UUCUGGGAGGAUUGACAGAUUGAGAGCUCUUUCUUGAUUCGGUGGAUAGUGGUGCAUGUCCGUUCUUAGUUGGUGGAGCAAUUUGUCUGGUUAAUUCCGAUAACGAACGAGACUCUAGCCUAUUAAAUGGGUGCGUGGUUCUCUGCACCUUGAACCUUUCUUAGAGGGACAAGCGGCUCCUAGCCGCACGAAACAGAGCAAUAACAGGUCUGUGAUGACCUUAGAU
rnacentral:rRNA from 1 species